GCCUGAGGCUGAUAGUUUCAGUGAUGAAGGGUAUGGUCCACCACCAACCAAAUGGCAGGGCACUUGUCAAACCUCAUCCAAUUUCACCUGCAACAAGUAAAUGAUCCUUUUUUCUUCUUCUUUAUAAUUUCAUCUGCACACAUACACUAAUGAGAUAUACAGAGAGACCCCAAUGCUGCUUAACAAAAAAUUUAACGCUAUGCAGUAAAAUCAUUGGAGCUAGAUACUACAGGAGUGAUGGAAAUGUACCCCCAGAAGAUUUUGCAUCACCAAGAGAUACAGAAGGCCAUGGGACACAUACUGCAUCCACAGCAGCUGGAAACGUAGUUAGUGGGGCAAGCUUACUGGGCCUUGGCGCAGGAACAGCUCGAGGAGGGACUCCUUCAGCCCGCAUUGCAGUGUAUAAGAUAUGUUGGGCAGAUGGUUGUUAUGAUGCAGAUAUCCUUGCAGCAUUUGAUGAUGCAAUUGCGGAUGGAGUUAAUAUUAUCUCUCUUUCAGUUGGGGGAUCCUUUCCUCUGGAUUACUUUGAAGAUUCAAUUGCGAUUGGAGCCUUCCAUUCCAUGAAGAAUGGGAUACUCACAUCUAAUGCUGGUGGUAAUUCGGGUCCAGAUCCUGGUUCAAUUACAAAUUUCUCGCCUUGGUCUCUCUCAGUUGCUGCUAGCGUCAUUGACAGAAAGUUUCUGACCGCGUUGCACUUAGGAAACAACCUGACUUAUGAGGUGAGAUAGGCAUUGACCACAAUAUCUACUGAAGGGAUCCCACAUCUGAGAUAGGCAUUGACCAUAAUUGUCUUUUCCCAAAUUAUCUUGACCUCUUGUUUACAUGUAGGGAGAACUCUCUCUAAAUACUUUCGAGAUGAAUGGUAUGGUCCCUCUCAUUUAUGGCGGGGAUGCGCCAAACACGUCAGCAGGAUCUGAUGCAUCUUAUUCCAGGUGAAAAUGUGAAAUCUGUAGUGGUAUUCAUUGACGUUUAUGGAAGCCCAUUUAAAUAAAGCUUCAGUAAAGUAUAGAAGUAUUUGAAGAAUGAAAAUGCACAAAUUUUAUCAUGAAAUGUAGGUACUGCUACGAGGGCACCUUGAACACGUCUCUGGUAACGGGUAAAAUUGUAUUCUGUGACCAGUUGAGUGAUGGGGUGGGAGCAAUGAGUGCUGGAGCAGUAGGUACUGUAAUGCCAAGUGAUGGCUACACAGAUUUGUCCUUAGCUUUCCCCUUACCUACAUCCUGCUUGGACUCCAACUAUACUACCAACGUUCAUGAGUACAUCAACUCAACUAGGUACUUUUCAAAUUCAUAUUCUCCAAUUAAUUUGAUUAUCAUUCUUGGUGAGCCUAUGGAUAACGUAUAGAUCAUACUAAUUUUCUUGCACUUCUUCCUUUGUAAACAGCACACCAACCGCAAAUAUACAGAAGAGCACCGAGGCUAAAAAUGAAUUGGCACCGUUUGUAGUUUGGUUUUCGUCGAGGGGCCCAAACCCUAUUACCCGUGACAUUCUCAGUGUAACUCAGCUAUUCAAUUUCCUCCGGAUCUUUCCUUUGUGUACCCACUUCUUUCUUAAUUAAGUGCAACGUCUUCUAACUGUGCAGCCUGACAUCGCCGCGCCAGGAGUUAAUAUUCUAGCAGCAUGGACAGAAGCUUCAAGUUUGACAGGAGUUCCAGGGGAUACAAGAGUAGUUCCAUACAAUAUCAUUUCAGGGACGUCCAUGGCUUGUCCACAUGCUUCCGGGGCUGCUGCCUACGUUAAAUCAUUUAACCCAACAUGGUCUCCUGCUGCUAUCAAGUCUGCCUUAAUGACAACUGGUAAGGGCUUCAUCCAUAAUCUGUGGGCAUUUUUGAAACUAAAAUUUUUUAGGCAGAGUAUCUUGUUCAAGUACUCUUUUUGAAAGCUGCUUUUGUGGACAGACAAGUUGAAGUAUUAAAAGAACCCGUAUCUGUAACUAAUGCCCAUGUUUCCAUUGCCAUUGGCAGCUUCACCCUUGAGUGCUGAAACCAACACCGACCUGGAGUUUUCUUAUGGGGCUGGUCAGUUGAAUCCCCUACAGGCUGCAAAUCCUGGUUUGGUGUAUGAUGCUGGGGAGGCAGAUUACAUCAAGUUCUUGUGUGGACAAGGCUAUAACACUACAAAGUUGCACCUUGUCACGGGAGAAAACAUCACUUGUUCUGCUGCCACAAAUGGAACUGUUUGGGAUUUAAACUACCCUUCUUUUGCUAUAUCCACUGAGCAUGAGGCAGGAGUUAAUCGCACCUUCACUAGAACUGUCACAAACGUCGGAUCACCAGUCUCAACUUACAAGGCAAUUGUGGUUGGCCCUCCAGAGUUCAGUAUCAAAGUUGAACCAGGUGUACUUUCAUUCAAAUCCCUUGGGGAGACGCAAACCUUCACCGUCACUGUUGGUGUGGCAGCACUAAGUAACCCUGUAAUAUCAGGCUCUUUGGUGUGGGAUGAUGGGGUUUACAAAGUGAGGAGCCCCAUAGUUGCUUAUGUUUUUUAGUCAAAUAUCUAGUUUCAUACAUCUUAGUUGGUUCUUAUUUAAUUGAAUAAACAGAAGAGAUGUGGUAUGUAUUGUAAUAAAAUCCAACGCAAUUCUAUUUGCUCUAUAGGAGAAAUGCUUUGAGAUACAUGGCAUAUGCUCCUAUAGUUUCAUAAAUUGUCAUCAGGAGGCUCCUAAUUGCUACUCUGAAAUUAUUCUGAUUUGUUUCUACUAUAAUUGUCCAGAAUGCAAUGAG
rnacentral:lncRNA from 1 species